GGGGCUGUAGUAUAACCUGGCUAGAAUAGGUGGCUCCAGACCACCGGAUCUGGGAUGUCAUGAGUUUGAUAAGAUCUUGCUCAUGGCACAGGAAUUCAAAUCCCAGCAGCCCCA
rnacentral:tRNA from 1 species